GGGAAACCGAGUCCGAAUAGGGCGCAUAGUUGCUGGGCGUAGACCCGAAACCAAGUGAUCUAUCCAUGGCCAGGUUGAAGGUGCCGUAACAGGUACUGGAGGACCGAACCCACUAGUGUUGCAAAACUAGGGGAUGAGCUGUGGAUAGGGGUGAAAGGCUAAACAAACUUGGAAAUAGCUGGUUCUCUCCGAAAACUAUUUAGGUAGUGCCUCACGUAUCACUCUCGGGGGUAGAGCACUGUCAUGGCUAGGGGGUCAUCGCGACUUACCAAACCAUAGCAAACUCCGAAUACCGAGAAGUGCGAGCGUGGGAGACAGACAUCGGGUGCUAACGUCCGGUGUCAAGAGGGAAACAACCCAGACCGCCAGCUAAGGUCCCAAAUGACGUGCUAAGUGGUAAACGAAGUGGGAAGGCAUAGACAGCCAGGAUGUUGGCUUAGAAGCAGCCAUCAUUUAAAGAAAGCGUAAUAGCUCACUGGUCGAGUCGUCCUGCGCGGAAGAUGUAACGGGG
rnacentral:rRNA from 1 species